rnacentral:rRNA from 1 species
AUUGAACGCUGGCGGAAUGCUUUACACAUGCAAGUCGAACGGCAGCACGGGGCAACCUGGUGGCGAGUGGCGAACGGUGAGUAAUACAUCGGAACGUGCCCAAUCGUGGGGGAUAACGUAGCGAAAGUAACGCUAAUACCGCAUACGAUCUACGGAUGAAAGCGGGGAUCGCAAGACCUCGCGCGAGUGGAGCGGCCGAUGUCAGAUUAGGUAGUUGGUGGGGUAAAGGCUCACCAAGCCAACGAUCUGUAGCUGGUCUGAGAGGACGACCAGCCACACUGGAACUGAGACACGGUCCAGACUCCUACGGGAGGCAGCAGUGGGGAAUUUUGGACAAUGGGCGCAAGCCUGAUCCAGCCAUUCCGCGUGCAGGAUGAA